rnacentral:rRNA from 1 species
GUAGGUGGCAAGCGUUGUCCGGAAUUAUUGGGCGUAAAGCGCGCGCAGGCGGUUCUUUAAGUCUGAUGUGAAAGCCCACGGCUCAACCGUGGAGGGUCAUUGGAAACUGGAGAACUUGAGUACAGAAGAGGAAAGCGGAAUUCCACGUGUAGUGGUGAAAUGCGUAGAGAUGUGGAGGAACACCAGUGGCGAAGGCGGCUUUCUGGUCUGUAACUGACGCUGAGGCGCGAAAGCGUGGGGAGCAAACAGGAUUAGAUACCCUGGUAGUCCACGCCGUAAACGAUGAGUGCUAAGUGUUAGGGGGGUUUCCGCCCCCCUUAGUGCUGCAGCUAACGCAUUAAGCACUCCGCCUGGGAGUACGGCCGCAAGGCUG